rnacentral:lncRNA from 1 species
CACAUCGCUUGGGUGGAUGUCAUCUUUGCCAGAUGGAUGCUUCGGGUGGAGAAGAUCUUCAUCUAAGGUGACUCUGCCACCAUUAUUGGUUGGCUCCAGGAUAGCGCGCAGCUGCUGGAGACUCAUCUACUCAUUCAUGAUAUCUAGAUGUCUCUACAUUUUUCUGUUGCAAUGUCAAUUUGGCAUAUUUGUUGGGAGGCGAACAGCACGG